UACGUAGGGGCUAGCGUUGUCCGGAAUCAUUGGGCGUAAAGCGCGCGUAGGCGGCCCGGUAAGUCCGCUGUAAAAGUCAAAGGCUCAACCUUUGAAUGUCAGUGGAUACUGCCGGGCUAGAGUCCGGAAGAGGCGAGUGGAACUCCUGGUGUAGCGGUGGAAUGACGUAGAGUAUCGUAAGGAAGACCAGUGGCGAAGGCGGGUCUCUGGACCAGUUCCUGACGCUGAGGCACGGAAGGCCAAGGGGAGGACAAACCGGGGAGUUAGAAUAACCCGGGUAGU
rnacentral:rRNA from 1 species